rnacentral:lncRNA from 1 species
AGACAUACUAAUUUCUCAUAUUAUUACUGAUUAUUGUUGCCAUGUACCAGAAAAUGUUCUAAAUACACUGACCCAGAUGGAUAGGAACACUGUCCCACAGAGUUUAUAUUGUUCUUUUACAAAUCUCUUAGGAUAUGCCCAUCAAAUUGCCAUUUGAACAGUUAUGUUUAAUACCUGCAGACUUGUGCUCCUGCCAGAACCUUUCUUUCUUUUUUUUCUACAGUGAGUGAUGGAAACUGUGGGCUCAAAUUGUUAAGCCUGCUGGAAAUAAGUGACUGUUGAAUGCUCAGCCUAUGUGGUACUUGUAUAUCACUUUCUGUAAGUCUUAGAGAAUAUUACAGAACAGGGGUGCACAGAAUGUAAGAAAUAGAAGUAGUAGCUACAGAGAUGCUGUUCUUCCAGAGAGUGAGCUUACACGUGCACACUUACGUACAUAGGCAAACACUCACACGAAUAAAAAAGGCUGGAAGAAGUGGACUGAGGUAGAACUUCUUUUUUUUUUUUUUUUAAGAAAAAGAUUUAUUUAUUUAUUUUAUGUAUGUGAGCACACUGUAGCCGAACAGAUGGUUGUGAGUCUUCAUGUGGUUGUUGGGAAUUGAAUUUUAGGACCUCUGCUCUCUCCAGUUGUCCCCACUCUCUUCACUCACUCAGUCCCUGCUCACUUCAGCUUAAAGAUUUAUUAUUAUACAUAAAUACACUGUAGCUGUCUUCUGACACACCAGAAGAGAGUGUCAGAUCUCAUUACGGGUGGUUGUGAGCCACCAUGUGGUUGCUGGGAUUUGAACUCAGGACCUUUGGAAAAGCAGUUUGUGCUCUUACCCACUGAACCAUCUCACCAGCCCCGAAGUAGAACUUCUUAAGACUGUUUCACUGUAGCUUUAAUCUUUUCAAUGCCUGCUUCUUCUUUUUUUUUUCCAGGCAGGAUUUCUCGGUGUAGCCCUGGCUAUCCUGGAACUCACCUGGUAGACCAGGCUAGCCUUGAAUCAAUGCCUGCUUUUAAAUGAUGGUUCUUAAACCGCUUUCACCUCCCUGCUAGACCACCACCUACCAGAGGUAGUGGAAAAGAAGGAAUGUGGGGAAGUGGGGCUGUUUAGAUAUUCUUUGGAGCAUCUGUGUUGUCUGGACAUUGUCAGUUCAGUUCAUAGGUUAGCAGUGGCAGCUCUACCCACUUGAAAACACUUCACAGGUAUACUAGCAGUUCAUUUUGAUAGUGUCGGGAUACCAAAUGUAGAUCAGCAGUAGUGGCACGACCUAGCAGAGACAAUCAGGCCUCAGCUGAAUUGGCAUGAGUGAACAGGAGGAUUAAGACCAGCAGGGAUGUCAGGAGAAGUCCUCUGCUGUGCAUCUCUCAACAAAGCGAAGAUGAGCAUAAAAAUGAGACCAGGAAGCAUUGUAAAGCUAGCUCUAUAAGCAAGCCCCUUUCACAAUCUGCUGAGUCCUAGUCAUACCCUCUGCGAACAUCAUGUGUGUCCUCCAGGGAUCUUGUCUCAGCACCUAAGUCGGUAUCAGCUGACAUCACUCUGCUAAUCCCAAGUCUGAAGAAGUGGCAAGAAGCCACAGAAACUUUUCCAGAAGGUUUUUUCUUUUUCUUCUUUUUUUCUUUUUUUCUUUUUCUUUUUUUGCUGCGUUUCUCUCUAUGGAGUCAUGACAAAUUGAGCUCAACUAAUACAUGGGUGUCAUUAGUGAUGAAUCCUUCACCAUGUGCCCUUUUACAUGUCUGCAUAAUCCUUUCACCUGUGUCUGCUUCAGUGGCACAUUCCUUCAUGAGUGUGCCACAUUGAAACAUCUUUUCACUUGUGUCUGCUUCAGAACACGCCUUCAAGUGUUUGCCCCAGUAAAACACCAUCUGACACAACUGACUUUCCAAAGAGCCCUUAAGUUUCCACUUCGCAUCACUGUUGUACUUUAGAAAAAGGUUUCUUUUUACUUAUGCAUACGUAUGUUCUUUCUGUGUGUGUGCACUUGUGCUGGGUGCCUGUGGAGACCAGAAGAGGGCAUUGGAUCCCCUGGAGUUGGAAUUACAGGAAGAGGAUAUGAGAUGCCCAAUGUAGGUAGAUGCUGGGAAUGGCUCCUGUCCUCUGCAAGGGUAGCAAGUACUAUUAACUUCUGGGCCAUUUCUCCAGUCCUGCUGUUGCAUAUUUGAUCCCACAGUUGUGAUCAUUGCCAUGGAAUCAAGUAUGGGCCUGACAGCAUUAAGUUUUUUUUGGGGGGGGGUUGUUUAGACCUCCAUGAAAAUGACUGCUAGGAGAGGUAAGCUCAAGAGGUACUACUUCUCUUUGUCAGUAGCCAAUUAACUGUCAAUGGGGGAUGGAGAGAGACUUCUUUAUUGGCGUGUACAUAAUCCCUCACUAGGCCUUCUAAAUAGCCCUAGUAAAACUUCCUGGAAACUAGGAGAGGAGCUAGGUUGGGCGAUGAAGGUAAUCAAUGGGAACUGAAAGAGAAUAGGAUCGAUCGGCAAUAGAGAUGAAUGAUACAAAUAUAUACAUAUGAAAUAUAGACUAUUAUAUAGAAUCAACAUGCAGUAAUAUAAAACUUGUACUAAUAUAUGUUUUGGUUACUAAUCUAGCCCUCUGCCUGGAAAAUGGUUUUGGUCUUAUCGAAAAGAUAUUUUAAUAUUCAUUUAUAGAAAAACAUGUAAAUUAAAAUAAGUGUUUUAGCCGAGACUGGUGGGACAUGCCUGUAGGCCAAGUUCUUCAAUGAUAGAGGUUGGAAGACCAAGAGUUUAAGGUUAGUGACUUGUGUGUGUGCCCUAAGGAUUGAGUCUUGGGUAGGGCUUCCUGUGUGCUUACCAUGGGCUAACCUGCCAAUAUAGAGAAUGAUAGUCUUCCACCUUUUCUCUUUCUCCCUCUUUCUGUUUUGAUUAUUUUUAUGAAUGUGGGUGUGGGUGUGUAUGGAUAGGUGAUCAAUGCCUGCAGUGGCCAGAAGAGAAUGGAGCUGUAGUUAUAGACAUCUGGGAGCUGCUUGGUGUGUGUGCAACAUUCUAACCUCUGACUCAGUGAAGUUCUAAUCAGCCUUUGCAAAGAUAGCAGAGGUCGCAGCGGUCACGGUGGUCCAUCCCCCAUCCCCCCAAGCCAGUGUUUCUGUCUUGCCCUGGCUGUUCUUCUGUAGAUCAGGCUGGCUUUGAAUUCAGAGAUUUGCCUGCUUCUUCUGGGAUUAAAGGUGUGUGCCACGACUGCCAGGCCAGAAAUUCUUGUUCAUGUUGUAUAUAUUUGGCAACUGUUUUUCAAUUCACUAUUUGUGUUAGCCAUAGUUAUUUUACAUCCUCAAUCUGUUAAUUUUAAAUUCUCCAUCGUAUCUGAGUUUGGUCUUGAUGCUUACUUUGAAUUUUUAGACUAUGUUUUUUUGUUUUUAUUUUACUUUUUUUUUUUUUUUUUUGCCCUGUAGCAUGGCAGCCUGCCUUGUCUUUGUGGUUGGAAGCUAGGCAUGCUGUAUCUACUAACAGACCAAGGUCAGCUCUCUGGGUUUUAGUAUCCGUUUUUGUUUUUUGGCUACCACUGUUUAUCAAACUCAGCCUCAUCUGCCACACAAGUGUUGUGAGUUUCCCUGUACAUUCUGGGAACUAAUGAAGGUCCUCUUGAAGAGAAGCCAGUGUUCUUAACUCGAGUGGCCCUCUCCAGCCAAGUUUCUCGUUUUGACCUUGGGAAAUAUUUCCCAAGUUUCAUAUCCACUUGGGUAAAACAGGAAGGCAAGAAAAGUCUGGGGAUAUUUUAUUGCCUUUCCUCCAAGAAGGUAGAUAAUGCUUUGGGCAUAUUUUAAUAUGUUGAUAUAGACCAGGUAGUUCC